rnacentral:rRNA from 1 species
UUUUUGAAAAUAAUUUAAAGUCUAAUCUGCCCACUGAUAAAUUAUUAAAGGGCUGCAGUAUUUUGACUGUACAAAGGUAGCAUAAUCAAUAGUCUCUUAAUUGGUGACUUGUAUGAAAGAUUGGAUGAGAUAUAUACUGUCUCUAAUUAAUUUAUAGAAUUUAAUUUUUUAGUAAAAAAGCUAAAAUAAGUUUAAAAGACGAGAAGACCCUAUAGAGUUUAAUAAUUUAUUUAAUUAUUAUUAAUAUAUAAUUUUUAAAAUUAAAAUUAAAUAGAUUAUUUUGUUGGGGUGAUAGAAAAAUUAAAUUAACUUUUUUUUGUUAUUUACAUUAAUUUAUGAUUAAGUGAUCCAUUUAUAAUGAUUAAAAGAAAAAAUUACCUUAGGGAUAACAGCGUAAUUUUUUUUUUUAGUUCAAAUAGGAAAAAAAGUUUGCGACCUCGAUGUUGGAUUAAGAUAAAAUUUAAAUGCAAAAGUUUAAAAUUUUGAUCUGUUCGAUCAUUAAAAUCUUA